AAUAAGUACAGUUUUGCACUGUUCAUAUACAACGUUUGAUCGUUCGUCUUAUUUGAAAUCUUUUGAUGAUUAAUAUUUUUAUUGUUAUUAGAUGAUAAAACAUGAAUAAUACUUUAUGUGUGAAUAAUUUUUAUAAAUUUUUCAAAUAAGACGGACAGUCAAACGUUGGACAUGGAUCCCAACGGCUGCACUUAUU
rfam:Oryza glaberrima chromosome 6 Oglab06_unplaced167_32, whole genome shotgun sequence.